GAUGAACGCUGGCGGCGUGCCUAAUACAUGCAAGUCGAGCGAACGGACGAGAAGCUUGCUUUUCUGAUGUUAGCGGCUGACGGGUGAGUAACACGUGGAUAACCUACCUAUAAGACUGGGAUAACUUCGGGAAACCGGAGCUAAUACCGGAUAAUAUUUUGAACCGCAUGGUUCAAAAGUGAAAGACGGUCUUGCUGUCACUUAUAGAUGGAUCCGCGCUGCAUUAGCUAGUUGGUAAGGUAACGGCUUACCAAGGCAACGAUGCAUAGCCGACCUGAGAGGGUGAUCGGCCACACUAGAACUGAGACACGGUCCAGACUCCUACGGGAGGCAGCAGUAGGGAAUCUUCCGCAAUGGGCGAAAGCCUGACGGAGCAACGCCGCGUGAGUGAUGAAGGUCUUCGGAUCGUAAAGCUCUGUUAUUAGGGAAGAACAUAUGUGUAAGUAACUGUGCACAUCUUGACGGUACCUAAUCAGAAAGCCACGGCUAACUACGUG
rnacentral:rRNA from 1 species